rnacentral:rRNA from 1 species
CGAGGGGCAGCAUGAACUUAGCUUGCUAAGUUUGAUGGCGACCGGCGCACGGGUGAGUAACACGUAUCCAACCUGCCGAUGACUCGGGGAUAGCCUUUCGAAAGAAAGAUUAAUACCCGAUGGCAUAGUUCUUCCGCAUGGUAGAAUUAUUAAAGAAUUUCGGUCAUCGAUGGGGAUGCGUUCCAUUAGGUUGUUGGCGGGGUAACGGCCCACCAAGCCUUCGAUGGAUAGGGGUUCUGAGAGGAAGGUCCCCCACAUUGGAACUGAGACACGGUCCAAACUCCUACGGGAGGCAGCAGUGAGGAAUAUUGGUCAAUGGACGAGAGUCUGAACCAGCCAAGUAGCGUGAAGGAUGACUGCCCUAUGGGUUGUAAACUUCUUUUAUACGGGAAUAAAGUGAGGCACGUGUGCCUUUUUGUAUGUACCGUAUGAAUAAGGAUCGGCUAACUCCGUGCCAGCAGCCGCGGUAAUACGGAGGAUCCGAGCGUUAUCCGGAUUUAUUGGGUUUAAAGGGAGCGUAGGCGGACGCUUAAGUCAGUUGUGAAAGUUUGCGGCUCAACCGUAAAAUUGCAGUUGAUACUGGGUGUCUUGAGUACAGUAGAGGCAGGCGGAAUUCGUGGUGUAGCGGUGAAAUGCUUAGAUAUCACGAAGAACUCCGAUUGCGAAGGCAGCCUGCUGGACUGUAACUGACGCUGAUGCUCGAAAGUGUGGGUACCAAACAGGAUUAGAUACCCUGGUAGUCCACACAGUAAACGAUGAAUACUCGCUGUUUGCGAUAUACAGUAAGCGG